UGCAGUCGAGCGGAACGAAGAGGUGCUUGCACCUCUGGCGUCGAGCGGCGGACGGGUGAGUAAUGCUUGGGAAUAUGCCUUAUGGUGGGGGACAACAGUUGGAAACGACUGCUAAUACCGCAUGAUGUCUACGGACCAAAGUGGGGGACCUUCGGGCCUCACGCCAUAAGAUUAGCCCAAGUGGGAUUAGCUAGUUGGUGAGGUAAUGGCUCACCAAGGCGACGAUCCCUAGCUGGUUUGAGAGGAUGAUCAGCCACACUGGGACUGAGACACGGCCCAGACUCCUACGGGAGGCAGCAGUGGGGAAUAUUGCACAAUGGGCGCAAGCCUGAUGCAGCCAUGCCGCGUGUGUGAAGAAGGCCUUCGGGUUGUAAAGCACUUUCAGUAAGGAGGAAAGGUUAAGUGUUAAUAGCACUUAGCUGUGACGUUACUUACAGAAGAAGCACCGGCUAACUCCGUGCCAGCAGCCGCGGUAAUACGGAGGGUGCGAGCGUUAAUCGGAAUUACUG
rnacentral:rRNA from 1 species